CGGAGACGGAGACGGAGAAGGAGAAGAAGAAGAAGAAGAGUCCUGGGAAGGUCUUCCCCCGAAUGACCUCUUCAUUUCCUUCUUUUGGGAAGAAGUUACGCCCAACCGCCCUGGCUGGAAUGUGCCCCUCUGUGUGGGGGGCACCUUGCGAAAGGCAUUUACCCCGGUGGGGAUCGAUUCCGGUUAUUCAGUUCCUGUUGAUGCUCCUUUGCGUAGGAGGAAGGAUUCCUAUGCCUGCUGCAAAGCAGAAGCCUGGCACACGGUGGGCAGGACAGUUCAUUCAACACGGGCUCGGCGCAGACAGAGAGCGGCUGCUCAGGGGGGUCCUGGCCUCCACGCGUCCGCAGGUUAGUGUAAUCCCAGGUGGUACAGAAUUCCAAAUAGAACAAAGACGGAAGAACACACUUGGGCAGGAUGCUGGGCUGGGUUGACUCCGACCUCACGGCUAAGGCUGAAGAGGCUGAGUGAGGACUGAAGAGACAAGCCCCUGCGUGAUCCUUAUCAUUUCUAUCAUCUUCUUGACAAAAGUCUGUUCUCAAAUGGACAGCAGGCUCCAAGACCACACUUCCUUCUAGCUAUAGAUGGCAAGAGAUGUUAGGGCAGGGAAUCCAGAUGUCAGAAAAAGGAAUGGAAUUAAGGUUCACCAUUGCCCCAGGCACAAGGAACAGUUCAUUUUU